GAUACUACCCCGUCGGACACGGAUUAUUUCAUAAAUUCUUGUUAAAUUCUUAUUUUGAGCGAAUUUGAGUUGUGAUAUGUCAAUGAAGGACAAAAUGCUGGAAUGUGAACAGAGGAAGCGGUCGUAACGUCUAUAAAAAUACGGGCGAAAUCACUUAAGGUCAAGCAUUGGAAUACGAUUUUUUCGGGGAGAGAACACCCAAAUAGAGACAAAUCCACCAACUACAUGCCGCAGUGAAAGGUCAUGUCACCUACCUUCAUCAGUCCUGGAAAACAGUAAGGGAAAGACCCUCAGUAGGGAUGGGACGACUCACCAAGGAUAUGAUUACUGGCAAUUUGGUGGAGGAUUUAUCUUUAGCUGCUAUCACUUCAGGAUCGUACAGAGAGCAGACAAGAAGUGAAGAGGGAAAAAGAGGAAGCGAUGGCAUCAGAACGGACCUCGAGCUGGGACUCUACUAGAGCAAUGCACACGACUGUCGCAUUUUAUUGAGAUGCUAAGUUUUUUUUCUACUGUUACUGUACAUUUUAAAUAUUAAAUGUUUUACUGUAAUUGAACAAAAACUGUCUUUUAAGUAUUCGAUUCAGAUUUGUACUUUACUUUACUUUGAAAACACUGCAAGUUAAAGUUUUCAGA